CUCCAACCUGUCAGAGCAAAUCACAGCAGAGUAUAAGGAGUUUUGAAGGGAGCAAAUCUACACGUCUAGUCCCUUGAAAGUGUCCACCUACAAGAGAGCGAAUCUUCCGUGUUCUGGGAAUUCCCUCCCUCAUUCUGUCAGUGUGGCUGUGCGUUCCUCUGCCAGCCGUCUUUUCUCUUCCUCAGCGCUCAGGCUCUUGACCGCUCCUACUGACAUCACUCAGUGUUCCCGCCACAUACACCUCGACUGCAACUCACAAACCACACACCACCCAUGAGUAUGGUUACUCUCAGGGUAGCCCUGAUGCAUAUUCUUGGUCCCUGCCGCGCUCCUGAAGGCUUCCGGUAGGAGAGGAAGAAGGCUUCCGGUGGGAGAGGGAGAAGGCUUCCGGUGGGGACAAAUCUCUACUUUGUCCUUUGUGGACUUCAUACGAGAUAGUAAAGGCUUCACCACUUUGGAAGAACCGAAAAAGUUCAGUGAUACUAGCCUGGGAAAUGAAUUUCAAAAGCAACUUGCCAUCAGCCCUCAAAUCCUCUCUCUCCAUUGGUUAUCUAAGAAGUCUGGCACCUCUAAAAUCAGAGAGGCAGAAGGUGAGAGAAGAGUCUGGAAAAGGCUGCCCUGUGAUCCCAAUGGAAUUGGUGAUAGUUUCUUCCAGGUUUGGUGGGUGAGGAAAGUAACCUUUUUCUUCAGCAGUACUCUCAUGGAUUCUUUGGAGACCUCACUAGGAUCAUUAGACUGUGCUUUUUAUAAUACAGCUUUCUUUUCAAGAAUGCCUUAGAGAACAACAUUCUCUAGAAUAUUGCUGAAUUGCAUGACUUCUGAGAUUCUCAGGGAAACAUUUUGUUGUUCUUGCUUUGAGAAGAUCUUUGAGGAGAACUAUUAGCAUAGU
rnacentral:lncRNA from 1 species